rnacentral:rRNA from 1 species
GGAUGCGGCCAUACCAGCACUAAAGCACCGAAUCCCAUUAGAACUCCGAAGUUAAGAGUGCUUGGGCGAGAGUAGUACUAGGAUGGGUGACCUCCUGGGAAGUCCUCGUGUUGCGUUCC